AAUCAACGCUGGCGGCGUGCCUAACACAUGCAAGUCGAACGCGAAAGCCCUUUCGGGGGUAAGUAGAGUGGCGUCCGGGUGAGUAACACGUAGGUAAUCUGCCUUCGGGUGGGGAAUAACCAGUCGAAAGAUUGGCUAAUACCGCAUAAUGCAGCGGCACCUAAUGGUGAUUAGUUGUUAAAGCGGGGGAUCGUAAGACCUCGCGCCUGAAGAGGAGCCUGCGGCAGAUUAGCAGUUGGUGAGGUAAUGGCUCACCAAGGCUUCGAUCUGUAGCUGGUCUGAGAGGACGGCCAGCCACACUGGCACUGACACACGGGCCAGACUCCUACGGGAGGCAGCAGUGGGAAUUUUGGGCAAUGGGCGAAAGCCUGACCCAGCAACGCCGCGUGAGGGAGGAAA
rnacentral:rRNA from 1 species